AUUCAAAUAGUUUAUAAAAAUUUCAGUUUGUGGGACUGGAGAAAUAAGGAAUUCUUAUUUUGAAUA
rnacentral:tRNA from 2 species